AGCAGUAUUGAACUGAAGAGUUUGAUCAUGGCUCAGAUUGAACGCUGGCGGCAGGCCUAACACAUGCAAGUCGAGCGGAUGAAGGGAGCUUGCUCCUGGAUUCAGCGGCGGACGGGUGAGUAAUGCCUAGGAAUCUGCCU
rnacentral:rRNA from 1 species